GCCGCGGCCUCGCGGAAAUACCAGGAAAGAUGUCUGAGUAUAUUCGGGUAACCGAAGAUGAGAACGACGAGCCCAUUGAAAUACCCUCAGAAGAUGAUGGGACAGUGCUAUUGUCCACAGUUACAGCCCAGUUUCCAGGUGCUUGUGGGCUGCGCUACAGGAAUCCAGUGUCUCAGUGCAUGAGAGGGGUCCGGCUGGUGGAAGGAAUUCUGCAUGCGCCGGACGCCGGCUGGGGGAAUCUGGUGUAUGUCGUCAACUAUCCCAAAGAUAAUAAAAGAAAAAUGGAUGAAACAGAUGCUUCAUCAGCAGUGAAAGUGAAAAGAGCAGUACAGAAAACAUCUGAUUUAAUAGUAUUGGGUCUUCCAUGGAAAACAACUGAACAGGAUCUGAAAGAAUAUUUCAGCACCUUUGGAGAAGUUCUUAUGGUUCAGGUGAAGAAAGAUAUUAAAACUGGUCAUUCAAAGGGGUUUGGCUUUGUUCGUUUUACGGAAUAUGACACCCAGGUGAAAGUCAUGUCGCAGCGGCAUAUGAUAGACGGGCGGUGGUGCGACUGUAAGCUUCCAAAUUCCAAGCAAAGCCCAGAUGAGCCUCUGAGAAGCAGAAAAGUAUUUGUUGGUCGUUGUACAGAGGACAUGACUGCUGACGAGUUGCGGCAGUUCUUUUGCCAGUACGGAGAAGUGGUAGAUGUCUUCAUUCCCAAACCAUUCAGGGCUUUUGCCUUUGUUACAUUUGCAGAUGAUCAGGUUGCCCAGUCUCUUUGUGGAGAGGACUUGAUCAUUAAAGGAAUCAGCGUACAUAUAUCCAAUGCUGAACCUAAGCACAAUAGCAAUAGACAGUUAGAAAGAAGUGGAAGAUUUGGUGGUAAUCCAGUUCAUCUCAUUUCAAAUGUUUAUGGAAGAAGCACUUCAUUGAAAGUAGUGCUGUAAAUAUUCUGCCAUAGGAAUACUUCUGUCUACAUGCUUUCUCAUUCAAGAAUUCGUCAUCACGCUGCGUCUUUGACGCCCUGAAUGCAAAGAAUUCAUAGCAGUUAAUUCCCCUUUUUUGACCCUUUUGAGAUGGAACUUUCAUAAAGUUUCUUGGCAGUAGUUUAUUUUGCUUCAAAUAAACUUAUUUGAAAAGUUGUCUCAAGUCAAAUGGAUUCAUCACCUGUCAUGCAUUGACACCUGAUACCCAGACUUAAUUGCUAUUUGUUCUUGCAUUGUCCAAAGUGAAAAAUUUUUUUUUUAAUCUAGUUUUUAAUAAGUCUGGGUGACCGCACCUAAAAUGGUAAGCAGUACCCUCCAGCCUUUUCUUAGUGCCUCUGUGCAUUUAGGUGAUGUUCUGUUACCAUGGCCUGUGUAAAUCUCCAUGGGGAAGUCAUGCCUUCUAAAGAUAUUAUUUGAGGGAGUGGGCAAAACAAUGUUAAUUACUUUCAAAUGCUUUGUAGCAAAGCAUAUCAAUUGAAAAGGGACUGUCUGCGCCUUUUUAGUUGGGAUUUGAAAAGUGGAAUUAAUUGCAAUAGGGAUAAAGUAGAAGAAACCACAAAUUUAUCUUGUGCCUGAAAUCCAUUAAGAAGCCUGAGAGCUUUAAGAACUCGCAGGGUGGGUUGUCUGUCUGUGGACGUGUUAAGUGAAACGGGCCUUGUCCUCCAAGGUGGGGAUAUAGGAAUGUCGCAAGUCGUUUACAAAACUCAGAUUAGACUCUCACCAUGCGCUGUUAACUAUGUAAUAGCAAUAAUGCUGACUCUGUUGUGCUUUUAUGUAACUGAGUGGAGCUCAUUUUCUAAGUGGAAGAAUGUAACAGUUUUUGUGUUGAUAGUUUACCUAAUGCCCUUACCUAAGUAGAUUAUGAUAAAUAGGUUUGUUUUGCAAGUUACCUGUUUUAAACAUUUAUAAAUGAAGUCUCCUUUAGACGUGUGAUCGCCACCCUGUCUCAUUACUCACUUUCCUCUGUAAAAGGAUCUUGCGUUGUUUUAAUUUUUUAUUGCAUCUAAAUUGCAUGAUUUCCAAACCCUGUACCAUCUGAAUUUUGCAUUUUAGCACUUGCACUAUUACUCAGCAGCAGUAACAUGGUAACACUUAAAAUGGUAUUCGGGGACCUCCAAAGACUAAACUGACAAGCCUUCAAGGAACCCAAGGGUAAGUUAACUUGUCGAUGGCAUGGUUUUAAUCCCUUUUUACACUUGUGUAAAUUUAGUUAUUGGUCAUAGAAGGCUUUCAAUGUUGAGUAGCCUCCUAGUAACAUGUUUAUGGUACUACACCGCUGUGGGUAUCUAAUUUUACCCUAAAAAAAAAAAAAUUUGAAGUUUAGAAGUAAACUAUUUGGCAAAUACUUGUUUUAAAGUCUUAUUUGGUCAUCUUAAUGCAUUCUAAAAAAAAAUUUUGAACCAAUUGAAUAAAAUUUUUUGUUGCCACCACAGUUUAGUGUCUGGAGUCUUACUGGAAAAUAAUGCUUUUUCGUAUGUGACAGAAAUACUGGAAAGUUAGUUUUAAACAGUGUCUCUCAGGAAGUUGUCGUUUGUAUGUUCAAGAGAAAUUAGGCCCAACCUCACUAUGAAUUUUUACAUAUAAUGGUAACUAUUUGACUAGAACGAAAAAUGUGGUGAAAUGUUAGCUACUACCGUGUUUAAGGGACGAGUAACCAACUAAAAUGAAGUAAGAUUAAAGUCAGCUGAAGUUUUGUCCUCAGGAAAGGAUGUUCUCUACUUCAGAAGAGUGUGCUGGUGAUUGGGGUAGUUUGUGGUGUUGAGCACUAGGAGAGUGAUGCCGAGGAGAUUCCAGAAUUGUGUAUCCAGCUUCCCAUACCAUAGCCGGCUGUUGUGUGGUCUGUGAUCUGUUGCUCAGUGUGCCCAGGCGUAUCAUGUUCGUUGUAAGGAGGAGAAGGAAAUGCCAAGUAUUUAUAAUGUCACCACUUCUGAUGUCACAUUUCAUGGGAUGGGAGUGACACCCUCCAGUCCACCAUCUUCUGAAUUUGUUGACUGCUGGGGUCACUUCCCAGCGCUGGGAACUUCCUCGCAGCUAAGCUGGACUCUUAGAAUUGGGAUUAACUAAGCUAAAGACUGUGCGUACCAUGCGUGCUUCUAAAAGACUUUUGAAACGAGUUGCAUAUUUUCCUUUAGAAAUGUGUAGUGUUCUGCCGAUGUGAAUCACGCUACUCCGUGUUCUCUCUGCCACUUUGAGUAGAGAAAAAUUACCUCACCCUCCGUGAUCCCGAUUUGUAACAUGGAAACCUGUCGUUACCAAGGCUCAAGUAUCCAUGUUUCCAGCUUAUUUACCCCCCCAAAUAUUCAGGGUUAUUCCAGCACCAGUGCUGCUGUUGCCGUGUGAAGCUCUCUCAGGGGUCAGUGAGAGCAAGCUGAAAACAGUUCAGUUGAACAGGCAGGUACAGAAAGGCAGCGGCCCACCAGCCAAAGACGCCAGGACUUCCUGGGGACAUGAAGGGAAGCAGCGCGAGUCUGUAUCUGCGAAGGCCUCCCGGGAGGAGGGCUGGGGGGAACCUGUCAGCCCGAAAGGGCCUGUGACGGCGGUCUCGCCUGCCGUGUGCUUUCGGCUGUGGGGGGAACAGCGGCCGGCGUGCUCAUGCUUCUGGGGUGUCGCUGCUGCUGAGCUCGCGUGCAGGUGUUUCUUAAGCUAGGGAAGGACGUGCUGACUGAAGACCCCGAUUAAAAAUUAUGAAUGAUGUUCUCGAUCCAGGGAAUGUAGUUCAUGACUUUGGUGUAGACCCCGUACUGACCUGCUGCCCCGCAGUGGAUGGCGCCCCAGGACACUAUCCCCCCCACGAACCACCUCUCUGUCUCGUUGUCCAGGAACACCAGCGCCCCGCCGCUGUCCCCGCGGCAGCUGUCCCUGCCCCCGCCCUCCAG